rnacentral:lncRNA from 1 species
GAGGUUCGAGAUUUUCUUCAUGUAUAGUUUAAAUUUUCAUGCUGCAAUAAUAUUAGGGGUUCAGAAUAGACUCAUAAUUUCAAAUCUUUUUGUGUCCAUUGAGGAUCAGGGACUACUACCUUUCAUUAUUUAAGGCACUUUGUGUUGAGAACAAAUGACUUGUUCAUUUGAUCGUCUAGGACACUUUAUGUUGUGGGUCAAGGAUCGACUGACCAUCUAAGGCAUUUUGUGUUGAGGACCAAGGACCAAAUCUUUUGACCGUCCAAGGUAUUUUGUGUUGAAAACCAAUGAUUGGUUAUUUUGACUGUCCAAGACAUUUUGUGUUGAGGACCAAGGACCAACUCCUUUGACCAUCCGAGGUACUUUGUGUUGCAGAUCAAGGACCGACUCCUUCGACCAUCCAAAGUACUUUGUAUUGAGGACAAAUGAUCGACUCUUUCAAACGUCUAAGAUGCUUUGUGUGGAGGCCAUUUAAAUAUUUGGCAGACUAGUAAUUUUUGACAAUGAAUUAAUUGAAAGAGUUACUACCCUUUUUUUGCUAAUUUUCUCUCUUUUUUCUUAAGGAAUGGCCGGAAUAAGCUCCAAUGAUAGAGUGUAUUAUGAUGUACACGAAAUUGUUGAGCCUAAAAAUCAAAGCAAAAUUUAUGUUCGUUUCAAAGAUACUAAUGUGAAGCACGGCCCUCAGCUUGGAUUACGAGGUGAACUAAAUGUAGUAUCCAUAAGCCAAUGACAGAUCCUUCUCCUGAGCUCCUGGAUCCUUUAUCGGAGUUAUAUAUGUCCAUCAUUAGUGAAUGUCACGAGAAAUUAGAAACUGCCAAGUCCAACCAUUUUAGCAGUCAUCUUCCUUUUUGGUGUCUAUCACUUGAUCAUUUCCAAAGCAUGGAGCGCAUCCCAAGGGCCAUAAUUUGUGAGAUGAUUGACAAUAAAGAAAUACAAUAGGGAAGUGCACUUGUCAAUCGUGGAGAGAUUUCUUUUCUUCCAAAGUUUUGGGAGUGGUCUUCAUUGGUCCAAAAACUCUUGAUCAAGAGAAAUGUUUGCAAGUUAGUUUCAACAGUCAGCUUCGCUAUAAAAGAUUAUCAUCAUCCUAGCGCCAUCUUUAGAGUUCUUUGUAAAGGUUGGUGUCCAGAAACCAAUACUUUUGCUACCGCCAAUGGUGAAAUUGACAUUUUUUUGGGACAUCUGUGAGAUAAGUAGAC